rnacentral:rRNA from 1 species
UGGGGAAUAUUGCACAAUGGGCGGAAGCCUGAUGCAGCGACGCCGCGUGAGGGAUGACGGCCUUCGGGUUGUAAACCUCUUUCAGUAUGGACGAAGCGUAAGUGACGGUACCUGCAGAAGAAGCACCGGCUAACUACGUGCCAGCAGCCGCGGUAAUACGUAGGGUGCGAGCGUUGUCCGGAAUUACUGGGCGUAAAGGGUACGUAGGUGGUUUUUUAAGUCAGGUGUCAAAGCGUGGAGCUUAACUCCAUUAAGCACUUGAAACUGAAAGACUUGAGUGAAGGAGAGGAAAGUGGAAUUCCUAGUGUAGCGGUGAAAUGCGUAGAUAUUAGGAGGAAUACCGGUGGCGAAGGCGACUUUCUGGCCAUAAACUGACGCUGAGGUACGAAAGCGUGGGUAGCAAACAGG